rnacentral:rRNA from 1 species
ACGGAAGGCAGCAGUGGGGAAUGUUGCACAAUGGGGGAAACCCUGAUGCAGCAACGCCGCGUGAGUGAUGAAGUAUUUCGGUAUGUAAAGCUCUAUCAGCAGGGAAGAAAAUGACGGUACCUGACUAAGAAGCCCCGGCUAACUACGUGCCAGCAGCCGCGGUAAUACGUAGGGGGCAAGCGUUAUCCGGAUUUACUGGGUGUAAAGGGUGCGUAGACGGCUGUGUAAGUCAGAAGUGAAAUCCCAGGGCUUAACCCUGGUGCUGCUUUUGAAACUAUACGGCUAGAGUGCUGGAGGGGCAAGCUGAAUUCCUGGUGUAGCGGUGAAAUGCGUAGAUAUCAGGAGGAACACCAGUGGCGAAGGCGGCUUACUGGACGGUAACUGACGUUGAGGCUCGAAAUCGUGGGGAGCAAACAGGAUUAGAUACCCUGGUA